GACGAACGCUGGCGGCGUGCCUAAUACAUGCAAGUAGAACGCAGUUGCGAACGGGUGAGUAACGCGUAGGUAACUGCCUCAUAGCGGGGGAUAACUAUUGGAAACGAUAGCUAAUACCGCAUACUGUGAGAUGGACCUGCGUUGGAUUUGGUAGUUGGGGAGGUAAAGGCUCACCAAGGCGCAGGUACAGAACCGACCUGAGGAGGAGGUCUGGCAGACGUGGAAUGAGUAACGGCCCAGAAGCCUGCGGGAGGCAGCAGGAGGGAAACUUCGGCAAUGGGCGGAAGGCUGACAGAGCAACGCCGCGUGAGUGAAGAAGGUUUUCGGAGCGUAAAGCUCUGUUGUUAGAGAAGCGGUAACUAACCAGAAAGGGACGGCUAACUACGAGCCAGCAGCCGCGGUAAUAC
rnacentral:rRNA from 1 species